GAUUAAGUUAUUAAGGGCGCACGGUGGAUGCCUUGGCACUAGAAGCCGAUGAAGGACGUUACUAACGACGAUAUGCUUUGGGGAGCUGUAAGUAAGCUUUGAUCCAGAGAUUUCCGAAUGGGGAAACCCAGCAUGAGUUAUGUCAUGUUAUCGAUAUGUGAAUACAUAGCAUAUCAGAAGGCACACCCGGAGAACUGAAACAUCUUAGUACCCGGAGGAAGAGAAAGAAAAUUCGAUUCCCUUAGUAGCGACGAGCGAAACGGGAAGAGCCCAAACCAACAAGCUUGCUUGUUGGGGUUGUAGGACACUCUAUACGGAGUUACAAAGGACGACAUUAGACGAAUCAUCUGGAAAGAUGAAUCAAAGAAGGUAAUAAUCCUGUAGUCGAAAAUGUUGUCUCUCUUGAGUGGAUCCUGAGUACGACGGAGCACGUGAAAUUCCGUCGGAAUCUGGGAGGACCAUCUCCUAAGGCUAAAUACUCUCUAGUGACCGAUAGUGAACCAGUACCGUGAGGGAAAGGUGAAAAGCACCCCGGAAGGGGAGUGAAAUAGAACCUGAAACCGUGUGCUUACAAGUAGUCAGAGCCCGUUAAUGGGUGAUGGCGUGCCUUUUGUAGAAUGAACCGGCGAGUUACGAUUUGAUGCAAGGUUAAGCAGUAAAUGUGGAGCCGUAGCGAAAGCGAGUCUGAAUAGGGCGUUUAGUAUUUGGUCGUAGACCCGAAACCAGGUGAUCUACCCUUGGUCAGGUUGAAGUUCAGGUAACACUGAAUGGAGGACCGAACCGACUUACGUUGAAAAGUGAGCGGAUGAACUGAGGGUAGCGGAGAAAUUCCAAUCGAACCUGGAGAUAGCUGGUUCUCUCCGAAAUAGCUUUAGGGCUAGCCUCAAGUGAUGAUUAUUGGAGGUAGAGCACUGUUUGGACGAGGGGCCCCUCUCGGGUUACCGAAUUCAGACAAACUCCGAAUGCCAAUUAAUUUAACUUGGGAGUCAGAACAUGGGUGAUAAGGUCCGUGUUCGAAAGGGAAACAGCCCAGACCACCAGCUAAGGUCCCAAAAUAUAUGUUAAGUGGAAAAGGAUGUGGCGUUGCCCAGACAACUAGGAUGUUGGCUUAGAAGCAGCCAUCAUUUAAAGAGUGCGUAAUAGCUCACUAGUCGAGUGACACUGCGCCGAAAAUGUACCGGGGCUAAACAUAUUACCGAAGCUGUGGAUUGUCCUUUGGACAAUGGUAGGAGAGCGUUCUAAGGGCGUUGAAGCAUGAUCGUAAGGACAUGUGGAGCGCUUAGAAGUGAGAAUGCCGGUGUGAGUAGCGAAAGACGGGUGAGAAUCCCGUCCACCGAUUGACUAAGGUUUCCAGAGGAAGGCUCGUCCGCUCUGGGUUAGUCGGGUCCUAAGCUGAGGCCGACAGGCGUAGGCGAUGGAUAACAGGUUGAUAUUCCUGUACCACCUAUAAUCGUUUUAAUCGAUGGGGGGACGCAGUAGGAUAGGCGAAGCGUGCGAUUGGAUUGCACGUCUAAGCAGUAAGGCUGAGUAUUAGGCAAAUCCGGUACUCGUUAAGGCUGAGCUGUGAUGGGGAGAAGACAUUGUGUCUUCGAGUCGUUGAUUUCACACUGCCGAGAAAAGCCUCUAGAUAGAAAAUAGGUGCCCGUACCGCAAACCGACACAGGUAGUCAAGAUGAGAAUUCUAAGGUGAGCGAGCGAACUCUCGUUAAGGAACUCGGCAAAAUGACCCCGUAACUUCGGGAGAAGGGGUGCUCUUUAGGGUUAACGCCCAGAAGAGCCGCAGUGAAUAGGCCCAAGCGACUGUUUAUCAAAAACACAGGUCUCUGCUAAACCGUAAGGUGAUGUAUAGGGGCUGACGCCUGCCCGGUGCUGGAAGGUUAAGAGGAGUGGUUAGCUUCUGCGAAGCUACGAAUCGAAGCCCCAGUAAACGGCGGCCGUAACUAUAACGGUCCUAAGGUAGCGAAAUUCCUUGUCGGGUAAGUUCCGACCCGCACGAAAGGCGUAACGAUUUGGGCACUGUCUCAACGAGAGACUCGGUGAAAUCAUAGUACCUGUGAAGAUGCAGGUUACCCGCGACAGGACGGAAAGACCCCGUGGAGCUUUACUGUAGCCUGAUAUUGAAAUUCGGCACAGCUUGUACAGGAUAGGUAGGAGCCUUUGAAACGUGAGCGCUAGCUUACGUGGAGGCGCUGGUGGGAUACUACCCUAGCUGUGUUGGCUUUCUAACCCGCACCACUUAUCGUGGUGGGAGACAGUGUCAGGCGGGCAGUUUGACUGGGGCGGUCGCCUCCUAAAAGGUAACGGAGGCGCUCAAAGGUUCCCUCAGAAUGGUUGGAAAUCAUUCAUAGAGUGUAAAGGCAUAAGGGAGCUUGACUGCGAGACCUACAAGUCGAGCAGGGUCGAAAGACGGACUUAGUGAUCCGGUGGUUCCGCAUGGAAGGGCCAUCGCUCAACGGAUAAAAGCUACCCCGGGGAUAACAGGCUUAUCUCCCCCAAGAGUUCACAUCGACGGGGAGGUUUGGCACCUCGAUGUCGGCUCAUCGCAUCCUGGGGCUGUAGUCGGUCCCAAGGGUUGGGCUGUUCGCCCAUUAAAGCGGUACGCGAGCUGGGUUCAGAACGUCGUGAGACAGUUCGGUCCCUAUCCGUCGUGGGCGUAGGAAAUUUGAGAGGAGCUGUCCUUAGUACGAGAGGACCGGGAUGGACAUACCUCUGGUGUACCAGUUGUCGUGCCAACGGCAUAGCUGGGUAGCUAUGUGUGGACGGGAUAAGUGCUGAAAGCAUCUAAGCAUGAAGCCCCCCUCAAGAUGAGAUUUCCCAACUUCGGUUAUAAGAUCCCUCAAAGAUGAUGAGGUUAAUAGGUUCGAGGUGGAAGCAUGGUGACAUGUGGAGCUGACGAAUACUAAUCGAUCGAAGACUUAAUCAA
rnacentral:rRNA from 1 species